CCUACGGGAGGCAGCAGUGGGGAAUCUUAGGCAAUGGGGGCAACCCUGAUCUAGCCAUGCCGCGUGAGUGAUGAAGGCCUUAGGGUCGUAAAGCUCUUUCGCCUGUGAUGAUAAUGACAGUAGCAGGUAAAGAAACCCCGGCUAACUCCGUGCCAGCAGCCGCGGUAAUA
rnacentral:rRNA from 1 species